rnacentral:tRNA from 1 species
UAGCCUAGUGGUUAAGGCUAUGGAUCGCCAAUCCGAAGACGGCGGGUUCGACUCCUGU